GGAGGGAGCGCACGUUGUUCGGAAUUACUGGGGCGUAGAGGGGCGUGUAGGCGGUCGGGUCAGUCAGGUGUGAAAGGCUACUGCUCAACAGUAGAUCUGCAUUUGAUACUGCUCGACUGGAGGUCAGGAGAGGAGAGCGGAAUUCCCAGUGUAGCGGUGGAAUGCGUAGAUAUUGGGAAGAACACCAGUGGCGAAGGCGGCUCUCUGGACUGAUUCUGACGCUGAGGCGCGAAAGCUAGGGGAGCAAACAGGAUUAGAUACCCUGGUAGUCCUAGCCGUAAACGAUGGGCACUAGGUGCUGGGAAUAUCGACAUUUUCAGCGCCGUAGCUAACGCAUUAAGUGCCCCGCCUGGGGAGUACGACCGCAAGGUUG
rnacentral:rRNA from 1 species